GCCACACAUCAACGUAUUCAGUGAAAACACUUCUUUAGGAUAUGUCAGUUAUGCUGAACAAAGAGAGAAGAAUUAAUUACAUAUCUUUGCCUUAGAAUAAGAUUUUCAUUUCUAUUAAUUCUUAUAUAUAAAAUCGAACUGAUGCCUCUUGCAAGCAUCUUUUGUAUGAUUUUUCAUUGGUUUAAGCAGAGUUAGAUGUCAGAGUUCAUUUUAAUUUAAAAAAAUUUAAGCUUUAGGAUUUGACAAAUGUAUUUCUUUCAAUAUGCAGCUGUGGAAGACACUGAAAUACGUGAGCUAUUAUAUCUAUUUUAAGUAGCAAGAAUAGAAACUUCAAAAUAAUUACAUUUCUAUAGCUAAUGCUUGAAGAUAGUUUAAUGUGGUGGUUGGAUGCACAAACUCUGGAGAUGACUUCAUGAACUUAAAUUCUGUAUUUCUCCAUUUGUAAAAGGAGACAAUGAUAAUAUUUGCUUUUCAAGGUUUUCAUAAGCAUAAGCAUUAAAUGAAUUAAUACAUUUAACACGGGUCUUUUUUUUUUUUUUUUUUUUUUUUGAGACAGAGUCUAUCGCCCUGGUUGGAGUGCAGCAGUGUAAUCAUAGCUCACUGCUGCCAUGAACUUCUGGGCUUAAGCGAUCCUCCCACCUCAGCCUCCCUGUGUGCUGAGAUUAAAAGUGUGAGCCACCAUGCCUCAUCGUAAGGGUCUUCAAAGAAACCCUAUUUCAUAAGAACCGACUGCCGAGGAAAUUCAAAACACAUCCAUGAAAGCAGAAAAUUAUAAUGUGACAAGUGAAGAAUUGAAAUGGAUUCACCCUAAAAGCAGAGCCAAAUAUCAGCCAUUGUCAUGGGCCCCUAGGAGGACUGAGUCUGGUGAUGCACGAAUACCAGAAUGCAAGUGUGGUGCAAUGACAGCAAUAACACAUGUGUGCACCUUGAAGCCAGAGGGAUGGAAACCCCAGCCAAUGCCUCUUUCUCUUUUUCAGCCAUGUUUGCUUUCCAUAUGCUGGAUGAUGUGUAUGGAUUUUCAGUGUGUGUUUCAGAGUCUUAAAAGCUCAUGCUAGCUUGCUUAACAUACCUCUAUAACUCAUGAUAUAGAACCCUACGGAGAACUGUGUUGCAACAUGGAUGCAGUGCCUAUACUAAGGCACACUGCCAACCUGAAGACUGUCAGAGAGCAUCACUAACGGAGGUAAGCCAGUAGGGUCUAAAAAUCUUCACAGAGAGAAGGUAUGACCGGAUGAUAGUCCAUUAAAUUGCGUUGAGGUGCAGCACUAUGUUCUAAAUUGGUGUACCCCACGAAUUUAUAUGUUGAGGCCUAAUACCCAAUGUGAUAGUAUUAAGAGGUAUGGCCUUUAGGAAGUGAUUAAGUCAUAAGGUGAGGGCUUGACCCUUAUGAAUGAGAAUAGUGACCUUAUAAAAGAGGCUUGAGUGAGCUCCCUGGCCCUUUUUUGCCAUGUAAGGAUGCAGCAACAAGUCACCAUCUAUUAAGCCAAUUACCAGACACCAAAUCUACUGGUGCUUUGAUGUUGGACUUCCCAGCCUCCAGACCUCUAAGAAAUAAAUCUCUGUUGUUUAUAAAUUACCGAGUCUAAAGUACUUUGUUAUAGCAGCCUGAAUAGACUAAGACAUGCAGCAAGUGAAUAGAUCACUCACUGUAGCCUGGAUCUGUCCUUCAUUAUGACAGGGUUAUUUCUCGUACUGGACAUAGGUCACCUUUGCUAACCUCUUACAGAAAUUCUAAACUUUGUGACAGGAAAUGCAGAAGUGUGAGAGAAGAACAAGGAGCUAUGUGAAGAAGAGAGAUGGAAAUGGAUUGAGACUGUUGAAAUAGGAGAAAAUAUCUUGGUUUUGACAUCAUUUCCAAAGAAUCAUAGUUAUCAAAUAAAAAAUUUCACAAUUAUCCAAAAUUAUAAUAAGAAUUCAGUGGCUGGCAAAAUGGCUGAAUAGGAACAGCUCUGGUGUGCAGCUCCCAGUGAGAUGAACACAGAAGAUGAGUAAUUUCUGCAUUUCCAACUGAGGUACUUGGCUCAUCUCUUUGGGACUGGCUAGACAGUGGGUGAAGCCCAUGGAGGGCAAGCUGAAGCAGGGUGGGACAUUGCCUUACCUGGGAAGUGCAAGGGGUCAGGGAACUCCCUCCCCUAGCCAAGGGAAGCCAUGAAGGACUCUGACAUGAGGAAUGGUGCACUCCUGCCCAGAUACUACGCUUUUCCCAUGGUCUAUGCAACCCACAGACCAGGAGAUUCCCUCGGGUGCCUAUGCCACCAGGGCCCUGAGUUUCAAGCAUAAAACUGGGCGGCCAUCCCGAGCUAGCUGCAGGAGUUUCUUUUCAUACCCCAGUGGUACCAGGAACAUUUAAGUCUGCUGAAGCUGCGCCCACAGCUGCCCCUUCCCCCAAGUGAUCUGUCCCAG
rnacentral:lncRNA from 1 species